CUGCAUGUUUUGGCCCUGGGCCAAUUCUGGCCUCUCUAUCUCUGUAGAGUGGACAAGUAUAAACAUGCUAGAUUAACAAAAACAGGGAGUUAUCAGGGCCACCAGUCUUUCAAGGUCAGACUGAGUCGGUAGUAUAAUACUCCCACACUU